ACUUUGCCAGACAAAUACAUUUUUUAAUUACAAAAAAUAAUACAAAAUUAACACCUUUCUGCCAUUGUCAAUUUAAACUGAGCAAUCUUUGUAAAAGCAUUUUUUUAGAUUUUCAUGUAUGUGUGCACUGUACCGAAAUUUGUAGCCAGCAGCUUCAGGAGUAACGGCCCAGUCAUGGGUAAUCUAGUUAAGUACCAUUUGAAACCUUACAAUGCCAUUACCGUUACCAGCGUGAAAUGAGAAGCACUACUUCAAUGUAAAAGGUGCUUGAAAAAAAUGCUUAAUUAAGCCAUAUACAUACAAUUUACUUAAAUAUCCAUAUUUCUGACUACUCAACUCCAAAAUAGGAACCGCAAUACAUUCAUUCAUUUAAUGAGUAAACAGUAUUUAAAAAAAAAACUCUGACUGAGUGAAGCUGCAGAAGCCUAAGCCCAAAGUGAUGCGUUAUGAUGGUACUUUGUCCAACACUGGUACCCAGUAAGUAUAAUUCACCAUCUACAAAAAGAGGAGUUCACAGCAUAGCCGUCUGCAUUACACAUUGAUGUUGAUUAUUUCUGAUCUACUGCUAAGAUUAAAGGGAUAACGCAAGCCUGCAUUAGUUUAUUUUCAUUAGACAUAAUGGAAGAUAUCGCAGUGUGCCAGCUCCAGGAACAUUUUAAUGCUUAUGAGAGAUCUUGCUUUUAACUAAUUGAACCAAGCUUGAUUUGUUUGCACGGUUCCUUUGUAGGAGGAGACCCGCUGUGUAUCUUAGAAAGCUUAUUAUAAAACCUUGAGGAUAGUUAAUAGGCAUCAUAUUAUAGACCUUCUGAUGCUUCAAGGGCCACAGAGAGCACUUAAUAUAUUGCUUUGAAUUACUACUUCAUCUUUAGCUUUUUUUUCCAUAAACAACAAGUAAAAAGUGUAAGAAAUUAAUGUUUACUCGCUCAUUUGCACCGAAAACAUGACAGCUAUGUGUGCUAUCUGCUCGGUGCUGCAGUGGGUAUCAAAAGAUGUUUACAGUGCUCACAGCUCUCAGCUCGUGUACACAGUAUCAAAGUUACAGUAUCAAGCUGUCACAGUGCAGCAUCUCUGCAAAGCAAACAAAGCAGUGCUGAAGCACACGUUACAGCACUGCACUGUAUGUGCACCCAAUCAGCCGUGUAUUUGUUGCCCUGUGCAGAUCAAUAGCAAUCACCAGGUCACAGAUGCAGUUAUAUGACCCACUUGAAGAGUAAAAAAAAUACCCGCUGGACUAUCAAUCCUUUGUGCACACUGGAAUAGUAACUGCUGAAUUCAUACAAAAAAAUAACCUUUCCUAUGGUUGCUAACUAGGUGUAACAGUCAGGCAGGGGUCACCAACCCGUCGAUCGCAAGCCACCUGCUGACUUUUGGGACUGAACACUCUUGUACCAAAACCUGCCCAGAGGUACCAGCACAUGCAUCGGCUCGCCUUGCCCCGCAGCGUUCACAAGUGUGCAGAUGUUGACUACCAAGGAGAGCGACACACAGCCCAGUUAUUGCAUGUUAAUAUGGCUCAAAUAUACUGUAUUGUAUAUACGGAAUAUUUUUUUUUCCAGGCAUACGUAUACAUCCUGAGGGGAUGUGAAGAUCUUGCGCAGGUCCACGGCCGACACCAGAGAUCUUGGGCUCAAAAAGGCUGGCGGAUGAAGAAAGCAGGCACAAACCCAAACACACGGGGGAAGAUUCUCCAAUUGAGAUUCAAACCCUCCACCCUCAGCCUGGUAUCAACCAAUCAUGUCCUUGCUUAAUUGUAUCAUCCCGAGCUGUCUCUUCUUCUACCAAGAUGGAUGCUGACAUUUGACGACCAGGAGUUUUUCAUGCUCGGAAAGACAAGCAGAGUAAUCAUUCAUGGGUAAACCGUCUGGACGGGCUUGCAGAUAUUCAUCUUCAUCAUCUGGAAAGAGAAGGUGGAUGCACGUCCGUCAUGCUUAGCCAUGCUAAGCCUCUCUCCGCCAUUUCUGUCCAAAAUCUUGAACCUACCAGAUGAGAGGUUACUUAGAUACCUCCUAUCAAAAUGUAACAACACCGAGAUAAGAAUUCAUAUGAGUUAUACAAAUGUCUAAUGUUUGAUAUUUCUUUGGUAAGAUUAAGCUGGGAGAGGACACACAUUGUAUUGUAGUGAUAUUAAAUAUACAAAAACGUAUUAGGAUGAAGC